UGGUAGGGAGGCCCACACUACUUUCGGUAACAGAUGUGGCAUGUUUAGAAACAAAUAUCUCUUUAUUGGCGCCCUGUACGGCAAUUUUGAUAGCAUUUUCUAAAUCAGCGUAAAAAGUUUACCUAGCAUAGUUAUUUUCACAUUUCUCCGGCAACGCAAACUAACGUUAUCGCAGUUUAAAAAUCGAUGAAAAGUGUCCGCGCGCCCAUGGUUUACGCGCUGCCCGCCCGUGACCCAGUUUUCAGCGCUGCGUCCUGCACUUCCGGGUUCAACCCGCGCGCCAGGCUAAACUGUAACUAUUUCUUUGAUUCGUCGGCGCCUCGCGGUAAAUUCAAAUAGAGCCAAUCAAAGGUUUCCUUAUAAAGCCAACAGUCCUGGCUACGUCAUAUCCCGCCCGCUCUGAACAGCUGCGGGAGUCUCUUUUCAAAAGCGAAGUUGACGAGAAUACAUCGACGUAUUUUCGCUGUAUUUUUGACAUCUCUUAAUUUUCGGAAAAGCGGGUUUUACAGUCGAUAGAUAACAUAUGAAGGGACAUACUGACGGAGUUUUAUGAAUUUCCGUGCAAAAAUGUUUGCGUGCCGCCGUCCGAAAGACCGCGGAAAACUCUACGGUGACCCAAUUCACAGCUCCCGGCCGACCCUCACCCUCACGGACGGUGAUUCAACGCGGACAUUUUCGGUAUAUGUUGCUGGAAUCUACCCAAAGGACUACAGCUAAGCUGACCUUUUAGAGCUGCAAUGUUCCAGUGUCAAGUUCCAAGAUAAAGGAGAAGUCAUUCAUGCAAGAAACAUUGAAUCGUGACUCAAACAAAUCAACUUCAUGACAGACACAGCAUCUUGCUCUGUUGGCUACAUGAGUUUGGAGGAUUGGAAACAAUUUGCUGCACCGCAAAAGUUUUGGUUCAAAAUGCAAAUUGGUGGUCGCACUGAGUACUGUACAGCAAAUUAGUGAAGAACUACAAUACACGACGAAACAGCAUGGUAAGGUGAAAGCAUGAUAAUCCAGCCACCUGGCUGGUACGACAAGAGAAAUUUGUCAAAGUUUGUGCUAUGUAUACUGCCAGGAAAGGACAGAGGAAUGAAAACACUGUGGAGAACCUUUGAAAGAAGGACAACUAAGAGAAAUCUACAAAGAAGAGGAAUCAUGAAAGAAAGAAGAAAGGACAAGCAUGUGAUUGUGAUGAAAGAAGGACAAGAAAAGACAGCUUGUUUAGACAUUAUAAAAAAGCGAACUCGUCACAAACCAUCGCAAAGUACCAGACAUGACAGGCCUGGAACUGAAAUUUCAGCUUUGGGCUGAACUACCCCGAUUGGGGAUGAACAUCAUUGACUCUGGCAGAAUUUAUUGUCUCAGCAAACAAAAUGUAAAAGAAAACAAAAAAACAUGAUGAUGUUGAGGACUACUUACCUCUUGCUUCUGUAGCAUAUAAUGAAGAC